AUCAGAGAUCAGUUGCCUGAGGGCAACAGUGUGAUUCAGUCAGAGAACCUUCUCUCCCUGAUGCAGCCUGAAGGAAUGACAAAUUAAAACAUUCGCUCAGGCAUCCAGUACAAGGCCACGCACUACCUUCACGGAGUGCCAGGCACUUGUAGGGCACGACGGUGCCAUGGAAGUACCUUCACUUCCGUUUCCUCCAACCGAAUGGAUCAGCCUCAGCUUCACGACGUGGGCAAUGGACAUGAUCCUGGCCUUCGCCUGUGGACUGGGCCUCUUCCACCUGUGGAUACAUUUCUUCCCACUCACCUCACCCUCACCUGCAGAGGGCGCCUCCACCACCACCAAAAGGGUAAGACUGCCUUCCAUCCACACCAACACAGCCUUCUCUAUUAGGGCAACACUUUCCAAAUCCAAUAGGGAGGUGGCGGACAGGGCAUCUCAGCAGACGGGAACCACAUCCGCAUGAGAACUCACGGGUAGGACGGGGAGAGAGGGCUGCGUGAUAUCUGCUCUCAGACCUCCUAGAGCAGAAAGAAGCACUAUGUCUCAGUGGUCACGGAACUGUGGACCUGGGAUGGAUAGGCUCCACUAAAAAACGUUCUGAACACUGGUUCCUCUGUCCCCCUCCUCACAUUAAUGCUCACACAACAUUGUCUUGGUCAGCUGAGCUCAUGUGAAGAGGGUGAUGCACUCCUGGACAUAGGAUCAGGACUUGAGUCACAUCUGGCCUCAGGAAAUGACAAGGCAGUUCGGAGCUGAGCUUCAGCUUACUGAGGUGGUGAAGAGGGACCACAACAAGGCCAGGAAGAAAAUCAGGACCUUGAAAGGUAGGCUCCUUCCUUCCCCUGGACAGGUGACUUCAUCUACCCUGUCCCCAAGGGAUGACACCAAAUGAGUUGCAGACCAUGCGGCUGUGGCUGCAUGGAAGGAAUCAGAAGUGAAGACAUUGCCGAGGUGCUGUGCUCAGAAUAAAGCCAGGGACAACCAUGGUUGGCUGCAGUCAGGAGGGUGGUGUGGGUAGGACCAGAAACAUGCUGCAUGCGUCUGCAGGCAAAUGGGUUAUUUCACUUCUCUAAGACACUUUCCUCUUCCACUACACUGGACCUCCCUCCUCUCCACAGGGACAUUAUGAAGUCCAUGGAGCUCGGCGGAAAUGGAAGCCUCCGGUCUAUGGUCAGGUCCUAUCCCACAUGUGCCCAGCACUUAGUGCUUUGGGGCCUGUGGCCUUGUUCAGCAAAGCUUGAGCUCCUGUUUAGUUGAUCAUUUCCACAGA
rnacentral:lncRNA from 1 species